UUCCCUUGGUGGCGAUGCCUGGCCCACGCGGCAGCCCUGCCCCGGGAGCUGCCGGACAGCUUAGCAGCCCGAUUACAACAAAGUCAACAUCGCUUCGCCUCCAGUGCAGCUGGCUGCGCUUAGUACGUCGUAAGAGUUCGGGCCCUAGACAGGAUGCCUUCCCGUAACAAUACCUCACUUUGUGGAAGAGCCGUGUGCGCCAGGAAAUCCACACUGUUUUCCAUAGUGGCUGCACCAGUUUACAUUCCCCAAAGCAGUGCAUGAGGGGUGACAUCUCAUUAGCCUUUUGAAGAAGAUGAAGUUGCACACAAGAAUGGAUAAAAAUUAGAAACAAGUGGGGCACUCUGGUGGCUCAGUCGGUUAAGCA